rnacentral:rRNA from 1 species
UAUCUCUGUAGAGUCUGCAUAUCAAUAAGCGGAGGAAAAGAAACUAACUAGGAUUCCCUCAGUAACGGCGAGUGAAGCGGGAAGAGCUCAAAUUUGAAAUCUUCAGGGUUUUACCUUGACGAAUUGUAGUUUAAAGAAGUGUUUUCUGUUGGAGUUUUGGUAAAAGUUCUUUGGAAUAGGACAUCAUAGAGGGUGAGAAUCCCGUAUUUGACCAUUAUUUCCAGCUUUGUGAUACACUUUCAAAGAGUCGGAUUGUUUGGGAAUGCAGUCCAAAAUGGGUGGUAAAUUUCAUCUAAAGCUAAAUAUUGGCGAGAGACCGAUAGCGAACAAGUACCGUGAGGGAAAGAUGAAAAGAGCUUUGAAAAGAGAGUUAAACAGUACGUGAAAUUGUCAAAAGGGAAGCGUUUGACACCAGUGUUGUUUCUACGAAAAUCAAUUUAUGAUGGCUUGAUGCUAAGCUUUAAGACUUUAUCCGCUUGUUGUUUAGUUUUCUUGUCUUUGUGAAUGCACUUUUCGUGGAACAAGUCAACAUCAAUUUCUUUUGCUGUAAAAGGGUAAGAGGAAGGUGGCUUCGGCUUCGGUUGAAGUGUUUAUAGCCUUUUAUCUCUGCAGUCGGAGAGAUUGAGGUCUGCAGCGUAGACUCUUCGGGGUUAGAUACGUCGGUGCUAAGCUAUAGCUUUUCAUAGACAACUUGUUGACUAUGUUUAGUCAUGUGGCUUACCCGCUGGCGCUAUUUUACCUACGCUUAGGAUGUUGAGUCAUCACACAUCUCU